rnacentral:tRNA from 1 species
GCCUGGGUGGCUCAGCAGUUGAGCGUCUGCCUUCCGUUCAGGUUGUGAUCCCAGGGUCUUGGGAUCAAGUCCCACAUCAGGCU